CAAACCCCAUGAAUGGCGAGCAAAGCUCGCCCCAAACCCCGCUGCUCGCCCCGAUCCCUCUUCUCUAAGUUCUGGUCAACGACGCAACACUCCACCCCAAUCCCAGCUCUCCUCUCGCUCCUGUUCUCUUCUCCGUUCGGGCCAAGCUUGGCCCCUAACAUUGUCGUUUCUGCUCAGGCCAUGCUCGCACAAAAUAACCCUAUAUAUUCAGGGUUUGUCAAUUCGGGCCCCAACCGAAUGCAAGCAGAGGGCUGAAGAGGGGAAUCGCUGAAGAGGGGAAUCUCACAGAGGUACUAUCAUGACAAUAUCAAAGGAUAGGGUUAAACCAUCUCCACUGCCAGAUAGCUGGAAGCUGUCAGAGAUUUUCACAACUGGCGGUGUUGAUCUUAGUAGUUG